GAGGACAGGAUUACACUGUGGGGCAGCUCUGCGAUGUCAUCAGGAAGAGGAACAUUAGCAGGAAGCCCCAGUUCCCAGGUGUUCACUGCCUUCAGACCAGAGACGUCAUUUGCCUGUGUUUUCUACAAUAGCUUCAUAUUCAACAUUGGGAUGAAUCCGGGUUUCCUGAUUCUGCUUCUAUAAUGAGAAAGGAUCUUAGAAUCCAUCAGGGCUUUGAAAUAAAGUUUUCUGGCAAAAACUCCAUCCCAAACUAAUUGACUGAUGGACAGAGCUCCUUCAACAGACAAAACACACCCAAUGUAACCAACCCAGAAACAUAAGGGGACUCCAACAUACCCAACACAGCAAAGCCAAGAAGACUCCUUUGAGCUCAAACUUGCUAUUGACAAGGAUGACCUUGAACAUUGUCUCCUUUUGCUUCUACUAGUACAGUGCUGGGAUUACAAGCAUGUACCAUCAUGCCCAACUUUAUGAGAUGCUGGGGAUCAAAUUCAAGGUUUCAUACAUGCUAGACAACCACCCUACCGACUGAGCUUCCCUCCCCACCCCCGACAUGGAGACUCCGUUGAAGGAGACAAAGGAAACUGUGCUUCAAAGAGUUCCCACGAAGCAAACAGUCUUCAAAGCAGCUCAGAUCACCAGUGACAGUUUCCUUAUCAUUCUACCAGCAAGACCUACAUUAAAGUGAGUUUUCUGUCUUUCUUUUUUUUAAUAAUCAAGCGAUUCUGCUUGGGGAAAGUAGUGGCAUUUAUUGAAAUCCAGUAAAAGAUCCUUUCAAUAGGA